CUAAAGCCUUGUGACCCCUUAGGAGGCUGGUGAUUUCCUCACAAGGAGGACCUAAGAGCACCAAGAAGCAUAGUGAGCUCCUUAGAGGGAACGUUUCACUGACGGUGUGAUCUGAUGGGUUGAGCAUGAACAUUCUGCAGCACAGACCGGGUUCCUCCAGGCCUUGGAGGGGCUGAUCUUCCAGCUCCUGGGAGCCUGUCAGUGUCUCAGGGCUUCUGGGAGCAGGCCCUGCACAGAGCAUGAGCCUGUCGAUGGAGGCCCCUGGUACAUAGUUGUAUAUUCUUCGUUGUGGCUUCUUCUAGUUGUGGCAUGUGGGACGCUGCCUCAGCGUGGUUUGAUGAGCAGUGCCAUGUCCGCGCCCAGGAUUCGAACCACCGAAACACUGGGCCACCUGCAGCGGAGAGCGCGAACUUAACCACUCGGCCACAGGGCCAGCCCCCUUUAUAAACCAUUUUUAAGAAGAAAAAAAAUGCUUCAAGAGACUCAUUGAAAAAACCAGGCAGCCUUUUACAGAGGAGAAAGACCUCACGCACCGACCAUCAGCCGACGUGUUUCAGCAUGUUCCGGAUCACAGAGACAUGGGGGAGAGAGUAGAUGGUGCAACCCGGGACUUCACCUUUACACAAAACAUCAGAACAACAGUGGGAAGCCGUGCGUGAAAGAUGCUGCUUGGAGCUGUGUCACCUUUGAAGGC
rnacentral:lncRNA from 1 species